UACGAAGGGGGCGAGCGUUGUUCGGAUUUACUGGGCGUAAAGGGCGCGCAGGCGGCUAUCCAAGUCAGGCGUGAAAGCCCCGGGCUUAACCUGGGAGGUGCGUCUGGGACUGGGUGGCUAGAGUUCGGGAGAGGAGAGUGGAAUUCCCAGUGUAGAGGUGAAAUUCGUAGAUAUUGGGAAGAACACCGGUGGCGAAGGCGGCUCUCUGGACCGAGACUGACGCUGAGGCGCGAAAGCGCGGGGAGCGAACAGG
rnacentral:rRNA from 1 species